UACGUACCGUACGAACGUUAUUCGGAAUUACUGGGCUUAAAGGGUUUGUAGGCGGCCUUGUAAGUCAGGUGUGAAAUCCCUCGGCUCAACCGAGGAAUAGCGCUUGAUACUGCAAGGCUUGAGGGAGACAGGGGUAAGCGGAACUGAUGGUGGAGCGGUGAAAUGCGUUGAUAUCAUCAGGAACACCGGUGGCGAAAGCGGCUUACUGGGUCUCUUCUGACGCUGAGGAACGAAAGCUAGGGUAGCGAACGGGA
rnacentral:rRNA from 1 species